GCUCUUAAGAUGGACCAUUACUUUACAUAUUAGUAAGAAAGAAAAAAAGGUGAAAUGAUAAUUAUAAGACACUAGCAAUUGUAAAACACAUACCUCUCAAGGAUGUGAGAAAAUGAGCAUCCAACGAAAUAGGCAUCUGAUAAAUGCUAGCAAGACAAAGGACACCUAAUCGGAAGUUAGUCUAUAAUUCAGGAUACUUAACCACUAACGUCAGAAAUACAUUAAAUGUAAAAAUUUGAAAAGUGAAAGUGAUUCACCACAACACUGUCUGUAGCGUCCUAAAAUAAAUUAGUGCCUUAAAAUUUUUCUGAUUCUCCCCCUCCCCGCAAAUGAUCAAUUCAUAACAUACUUGUUUUCUUUAUUCCUUCUUUCCAAGGCACUUUAGGUCUCCAUCCUAAGCCAUGUAUUUUUUCUGAUUUCAUUGGAUAUCUCAUGUCAUUGGUAGGUCUUGGAAAACAAAACAGAUUUAAAAUGAUACUGUGGAUAUAAAUUUACAAAUGUAUUUAUUUUUGGCCCUGCUGCAUGGCUUGAGGGAUCUUCGUUCCCAGACUAGGGAUUGAACUCAGGCCCUCGGCAGUGAAAGCGUGGAGUCCUAACCACUGGACCACCAGGAAAUUCCCUAUUUACAAACUUAAAUAUUGAGAGAAAUAAUGUGUGUCCAUAAUUCAAAUUUUCUCUCAAAAAAUUCUCCCUGCUGACACACUUAUAUAUUUGUAAAAUAAAGUAUAUGUUAAAAAUCCUCUAUAACCCAGAAGCCUAACCCUCUCUGUGGCUUACCCUUUUCUCAUUUCAACCACAAUCUAGGUAUGAAUGCAAUGUGUCAUACCUAAAUGUUUGAUGAAUGAAUGAAUAAAUACACAUAAACUUGUUAGGACUCAUGUUCCAUGCCCUGGGUCUGGUAGUUUAUAUACAUUAUAAAUUUUAAAAUACUUCCAUAGGCAAGAUAUUAUUAUCCCUAUUUCACACUCAAGGAAAUCUCAGACUUGGAAAGGGUAAAUAACUUUCUUUAAGUCACACAGCUAAUAAUAAUGCUACAGUUUAUUGUUAUGACAUUUAUUAUCAGGAAAAAACAUUCUAGCAGAAAACUCAAAAAAGGUAAACUUUUCUGGCUAAGUCCAUACAUUUUAAAAUCUUAUAAGUACCUAAGAUUUCACAACCUUUCCCCGAUAUUUUAACUUGUUACUCACCUAUCAUUAACAUAAUCAACCCAGUUUUCCAUUUCAGACUCUGAAUUGGUCUCUUUGAUCUGUCAAAAUGGAGAAGACCUUCCAGUCAAAUUAUAAAGUGAGACCAGAAAAUGGUAUUCAACAACUGAUUCAAAAGACAAGAAAAACAACCUCCUCCAAGUGGCCUGACAUAUGGUCUGACUGCAUACUAGGAAGGAGUCUUCACUGGUGUGACAGCAGUGAUGGGAGUACUCUAUAGUGUUUUAGAAUCCUGCAAAGUACAAGGCAUUUCACAUACAUCAUCUCACUGGACUCUUCAAAAUCCUUCCUAAGUAUUAUCAUUACCCGUCGAUUUAAAGACAAUGCUCAAAGGACCUAAGGUCAUCCCAGCUGAGACCACCUGAGAUGUUAAACUUCAAGUUGGCUUUCUCUGUUGGACCAACCCUUACAAAUAAAAAGAGCAUCCGUGGAGGGAAAAGACCAGUGCUACUGGAACACAAAAGGCUAGAGAAGCUGAAGCAAUCCCUUGGUUCGCCUUUCUGACCCAGUCCCUAAUAAUUCGGGAAGAUCAGUGGGAAGCCAAGUGCAGGGGUUCCAGCUGAUGAUUCAUAGUGGGCAAGGCUCCUGCACGGACACUGACACAGCCACUGGGGUAAAUCUAUCUCCUUUUCAUGAGGGGCCAAGAGGAGCAGUGGCUGGUAAGGGAAUCUGCCCUCCCACUGUCUUCCUUCACUCAGAGGACUCCUGGGAAUCAGGACAUUCCAACAGGGCUUUUCACUCUAGCUGUAACACUCUACCUAUUAGUGAAGCAGAAAAAAAUAUAUACAUAAAUUAUUCCUUUAAAUGAUGAACUGGAUAAGAAGCAGGUCCCUGCUUUGUCCACACAAUAUUGGAAAUCAGUUUUUAAAAUUCCUUAAUAUAUAACUUUUCUUAAUCUAUGUCUGCCAUCCUAAAAAUGAAAUGUUGCUAAUGCUAACUUGGCGUUUUAACACCUAAGUCCAAAGAAAAAUGAUUCUGGAGUUUCUGAGGUCAGUUCUUACCCUGUAUCGUUCCCAGUAAGACUGUACAAAACACUCAGCAGCUGCUUUAGAUGAUGCAUAAGGAUUUGUAGGUUGUUUGGGAGAAGAUUCAUCAAAUUCCUAAUUUUAAAAAGACAUAUUAAAAAAUAAGUAUAAGGUAUACUUUCUAAGUAGAAAAAUCGGAGAACAUAUUACAAACUUGAAAUGUAAAUCAGUACAUUUAAAAAACAUUUAUUGAGGACGUCCCUGGUGGUGCAGUGGUUAAGAAUCCUGCCAAUGCAGGGGAUACGGGUUCGAUCCCUGGUCCAGGAA